rnacentral:lncRNA from 1 species
CAGUUCAUCCUUACUCGCGGCAUGUAAAACAUAAUCGACAAUGAUAACGCGAGUAAUAUCGAGUGGUAUAAAUUAAUCAUUCACGACCGAGCCCGAGUGCACGGGACUCUUGUAAAUAAGAGGACGUAUGGCUCGUUAAGACAAACCUGGUAGAAUUACUUCUUGCCCAGAGCGACGAAAGAUCAAGUAGUCGCGUCCUACAUUAAGAUGGCCAAUCUUAACGAAGACACAACUGGAAACACUGAGUACAUUCUUCUGCCCGACGAUUGAGAAGUUCAUCCGCUACUUUUUGGAAGGUUUUAACACGAGCGAACAUCGGAUUCCACUUCGGCAGCUAAGAAUUGAUAUCUCGCGCUUGCUCGAGCUCGCUCAUGCGAGAGGGAUGACAAUGUGAUAUUCCACGUGUCAGCGAUCCGACCAUGUGAUCCGUCACGCGGACGAGGCAUCAUAAAAGCUCGAGCGGAAACAGUCGCCGAAACGAGACGUAAACCAACCCGUCGCCAUCACGAGGAGAAAUCUUUUCCUUUCACGUGCACGACGUCGCGAGAUCCGAUAAACGACGCGCCUAUAUAAUUUCGCCGCUAUAUCUUAUCGACGAUUCCGAUGUAUGACAUCUCUUUGAUCUUUUCGCUCGGCAGACGUAAU